GACCGCGUAGCUCAGUCGGAAGAGCAUUGGGCUAGUAUUCCAAAGGUCGUAGGUUCGAAUCCCACCGUGGCCG
rnacentral:tRNA from 1 species